ACACAUCAAGUCGUCUCUGAAAAAUCCAUCCCAUCUCAGUCCAGGCGGACUUGACUACUUCAAUGAAGCCUCAUUCUUACAUAUCAAGCCUAGGCAGUAACACCUAAAUUCUUUUGUAGUCUCAAUUUGUUUUGGUUUUCAGAGCAAUCAUGUGUUGUGGACCUUGCGGUGGCUGCUGUGGACCCUGCGGCGGCGGAUGUUUUGGACCUAAUGUUUGCGGUCCGUGCUAUGCGACAGGACCCUGUUUCGGUUGCUGCGGCGGCAGUGCCUGUGGCCCUUGCGGCGGUUGUUGCAGUAGCUGUGGACCCUCUUGCUAAAUCCGACAAAUCCCGACUACACU